rnacentral:rRNA from 1 species
CUUUCGGGCAUAGUGGCGCACGGGUGCGUAACGCGUGGGAAUCUGCCCCUUGGUUCGGAAUAACUCAGAGAAAUUUGAGCUAAUACCGGAUGACGACGUAAGUCCAAAGAUUUAUCGCCGAGGGAUGAGCCCGCGUAGGAUUAGCUAGUUGGUGGGGUAAAGGCCUACCAAGGCGACGAUCCUUAGCUGGUCUGAGAGGAUGAUCAGCCACACUGGGACUGAGACACGGCCCAGACUCCUACGGGAGGCAGCAGUGGGGAAUAUUGGACAAUGGGCGAAAGCCUGAUCCAGCAAUGCCGCGUGAGUGAUGAAGGCCUUAGGGUUGUAAAGCUCUUUUACCCGGGAUGAUAAUGACAGUACCGGGAGAAUAAGCUCCGGCUAACUCCGUGCCAGCAGCCGCGGUAAUACGGAGGGAGCUAGCGUUGUUCGGAAUUACUGGGCGUAAAGCGCACGUAGGCGGCUUUGUAAGUUAGAGGUGAAAGCCUGGAGCUCAACUCCAGAACUGCCUUUGAUACUGCAUGGCUUGAAUCCAAGAGAGGUGAGUGGAAUUCCGAGUGUAGAAGUGAAAUUCGUAGAUAUUCGGAAGAACACCAGUGGCGAASGCGGCUCACUGGCUUGGUAUUGACGCUGAGGUGGGAAAAGGUUGGGGAGCAAACAGGAUUAGAUACCCUGGUAGUCCACGCCGUAAACGAUGAUAACUAGCUGUCGGGGCACUUGGUGUUUCGGUGGCGCAGCU